rnacentral:lncRNA from 1 species
AGCUUGUUUUAAUCCGUUUAAUUGACUUUGCCUUUUGAUCUUUUUGUUUUGUUUUUUGAAAUGGUGUUGUCAGUUUAUUUUAGACUUUUCGUUUGAGUUUGAAUGUCCCUUUGGUAUCUUGAGUAAAAGGGUCAAAGUGAGUAUUUUGUCAAAAUUGUGUGAAAAAUUAAACGAGCAAAAUUAAUUUUAUCCUAGGUUUUUUGUACUCACCCAAAAACUAAAAUGUAUUAAUAAAAGAGUAGGAUUUGUUUUCAAUCAAAAUCAAACAACUUGUCAUUUUUUCCUGAGUAUAAUUUAAUCCCGUUUUCCCGGAACUUUUUAAGAUAUUGGGCUAUUUCAAUAUAAGCGAUGUAAGGGGCAAUAUUGCUCAGAAGGUGUAAAGCUGAGACUAAAUUAAUCGAUUCACUCUGACUCUUUGACAAAAACAAAUCGAACCACACACUUUAUUGAAAAUUCAAUUGAGUUAUCUCCCUGCAGUGCUAUGUACCACAUUAAAAUUCUGGGUAAGACUAUUUGUUCAUAAAAUAAUCUGCAUUUAUGAUUUUAAUUGAUUUUCACCUUCAUUGUGCACAAGUAACAACACUUUUAUCCUGUUAAUUAGUUCAUGUUUAUACUUAACUAUCCAAACUGUUGUAAUCAAAUGUUUCUUGAUGAAUAAUUAUAGAAUGGAUUAUAGAAACAAAAAAGUGUAAAAGAGACACUAACCACAUUAAACGGUUGAAAAUAGCACAAGGCCGCCAAUUGGUAUUUAACACAGCAAGAGUAUGCUAUAUAAUUCAAAGUUAGAAGAGAUAUAUAUUAUCAAAAAAGAAGAUGUGGUAUGAUAACCAAUGAGACAACUCUCCACGAGAGACCAAAUGAAACAAACAUUAACAACUAUAGGUCAUCGUACGGCUUUCAAUAAUGAGCAAAGCCCCUACCGCAUAGUCAUCUAUAAAAGGCCCAGAAAUGACAACUGUAAAACAGUUCAAACGAUAAAACUAAUGACCUAAUUAAUGUGCAAAAAAUAAAGAAAAACAAAUGUCUCAGACAUCAACAAACGACAACCACUGAACUACAGGCUCCUAACUUGGGACAGGCACAUACAUACAGAAUGUGACGGGGUUAAACAUGUUAGCGGGAUCCCCGCCCUCCCCUAACCUGGGACAGUGGUGUAACAGUACAAUAUUAGAACGAGCUAUAAAAAUUAGUUUAAAAUGGUUUAACUCAUCAGAUUGAUACAAACAGAAAUACUACACAGAGUCACUGAUGAUGGGAGUUUUAAGAUCCUGACUACCUAUAUAGCCCUUGAACGGUAAGCCAAUUUGAGUCCAUACCUUUUGCAGUAGAUUUUUAUUGAUCUAUAGCAGUACAUGUAUGAGGAAGAUGAAUUACAAUAGUUAUAAUAUUUUCAAAUUCGCUCUAUGUAUUUAAACAUUUUUAAGGUGCAGCUGUUUAAAUUAGCUUAUAAUUCAUUAUAAUCUUUAAAUUGAUUUCAAUAACUUAAAGAAACUGAUCUUAAUUUGAAAAACAACAUAGACAAAACGAAAUGUUAAAUGCAAGUGUUUUUAGAAAUCUUAAAUACCCAAAUUUUGCAAGUGAUCAAAUAUCAAAGAGAUAAAUUUACAGAUAUUACAACUUUUCAUUUUACGCAGUUUAUUUAAUAUAUAGCAUUUGUUUUUAGAAUUAAAUGUUUUGAUCGGGUGAUGAAAAGUACAAAUCAACAUUUUCUAUUUUUUUUCGAAUGAACCAGAAUAUCAGGGCAAUUAGCGUUGCUUGAACUGUUGUGAACAUCGCUUAUACUUUGUAACGUUUUAUACUUAUCAUAUUAAAUUUUGUUUACAUGUUACAAACUUACCUGUAUGAAAAGUUUACCUGAUAGAGCUCACAUGAUAUAUUGUAUGUGUAACAUAAUGUAAUUCCGGAUAUUUUGUAUCAUAAAUUUUUGAUGUUAGUAGUAAUCAGUUAUGCGGUUUCUAACUAAAAGAAAAAUGUACUAUAAAUGAUGUUUGAAUUUUACGUUGAUCUUGGAUGUUCAUUCCUGUUUCAUGUUGUUAAACUUUUAUAUCUGUGUAGAAAGUAUAGCAAUUCAGAUAACGAAGAUGUUAGAGAUAGAGAAAAUCACAAGCUUCAAAAUAUUUGGAAGAGAAGGGUUUUUAUCAUUCGAGUUACACUAGGAUUUUUGUGUAAUGCAGCAGCCAUCAUAACUCUGUGUGUAUUGCACCAAGAUUUUUAUAUUGCAGGGAACGUUUCGAAAGGAUUAUUUAUAACUAUAGUAAUAUUCACUGCACUAUCAUUCAUAAACAUGGAACGCUUUGCCUGUAUCAUCGAUUUCGAUGAUAGUGAUGAUACAAAUGAUGUGCUAGCAUUUCUGAUAUUCUGGCAUAGAAUUUAUGAAAUAGAAUAUGACAUUGUGUUCUGUGUUUACUGUCUAGUCUUAUCAGAUUGGGUAAUGACAAAAUAUACAAUCGUUACAAUUGUUCUUGCACUUAUUGAUAUAACAGUUAGUUUCAUUUUACUGGUAAAGAAUAUUUAUCACUUCAAACCGGACGAACUUAAAUGGGAACUAAUCCUUUUGAUAUUUUAUCCUUUGCCA